UUCGGUAUGUACUGGCUUUACUGAUUCCUCCUUCUUGACGAACCGUGAUGUCAUUAAUUUGGUGUUGCGGGAAAUCAGGACUGUUACUUUGAAAAAAUUAGAGUGUUUAAAGCAGGCUCACGCUUGAAUACAUUAGCAUGGAAUAACGAAAUAGGACGUUUGAUUCUAUUUUGUUGGUUUCUAGGAUCGACGUAAUGAUUAAUAGGGAUAGUUGGGGGCAUUAGUAUUCAAUUGUCAGAGGUGAAAUUCUUGGAUUUAUUGAAGACUAACUACUGCGAAAGCAUUUGCCAAGGAUGUUUUCAUUAAUCAAGAACGAAAGUUAGGGGAUCGAAGACGAUCAGAUACCGUCGUAGUCUUAACCAUAAACUAUGCCGACUAGGGAUCGGAUGAUGUUAAUUUUUUAAUGACUCAUUCGGCGCCUUACG
rnacentral:rRNA from 1 species